rnacentral:lncRNA from 1 species
ACUCUAUUAUCUUUGCUCAAAGAGCAGACAGUGCUCUAGCUGUUUUCCCCUGCUUAGCUUUGAUCCCUGCAGCCAUGCUCAGCCCUUCCCCCAAGCCCUCCCUUCCAGAUGGAUUGAGGCUGUUGAGACUCCAGGGGUGUUCGGGGCUGGGAGCCUGCUGAGUGUUCCCUGUUCCCACCUCCAAUCUGCUCCAUCCUCCAGCUGCAUUUCAUUCCGGAUCUACCAGAGUCUUAUUCUGUCACCUAGGCUGGAGUACAGUGGUGCAAUCACAGCUCACUGCAGCCUCGAUCUCCUGGACUCAACUAAUCCUCCUGCCUCAGCCUUCUGGGUAGUUGAGACUACAGAUACAGAAGAUGAGAGAGAGAAAAAGAGAGAAAUUACAGAGUGACGGAGAAGGCAGACAUCAUGCAACAUGCUCAAGGGCUAUUCAUUUUAAGCUGAAACAUACAUGUGUAGAAAGCAUCCUUGUACUUAUAAUCCCAAUGACUAUGAAGAAAAAUAAUUUAGCCAAAUAGUUCCUAGAACAGGAAAAAUAAGGAAUUAUAUUUUGAGAUAAGAAGUUAAGCUCUAGUAUAACAAUGAUAUGGGUCAAAGAAAAAUGAAAACAAAUUUUAAAAACGUUGCAACAUGAAUAAAAGUUUCACCAAAUCGGGAGUCUAUUAUAAGCAUGUUUUGAGUUAUUUUCUUUCCCAAAGACUUCAUUUUUGUUUCAAUUUAUUUCAGUAGUAUACACUUCUGAAAAUAUUUAACUAAUGUCGUACUGGUUCUCGUAAAAGGUGAGGUGGAGCAAUUCCAUUAAGCUAUAGUGAGGUGAAGAGAGAAUAUCUGGUGAAUGAAUUUGAAAUAAGCUCCUUCGCGAUAUG